GUAGGGAAUAUUGCACAAUGGGCGAAAGCCUGAUGCAGCGACGCCGCGUGAGUGAUGAAGGACUUCGGUUUGUAAAGCUCUGUUGUUAGGGAAUAAAAAAAUGAAUGUACCUGACGAGAAAGGACCGGCUAACUUCGUGCCAGCAGCCGCGGUAAUACGAAGGGUCCAAGCGUUGCUCGGAAUCAUUGGGCGUAAAGCGAGUGCGGGUGGCUCUCUAAGUCAGGAGUGAAAGCCCAGGGCUUAACCCUGGAAGUGCUUUUGAUACUGGAGAGCUUGAGUGUGGGAGAGGGUGCUAGAAUACCUAGUGUAGUGGUGAAAUACGUAGAUAUUAGGUGGAACACCGGUGGCGAAGGCGGGCACCUGGCCCAACACUGACACUUAGACUCGAAAGCGUGGGGAUCAAACAGGAUUAGAAACCCUAGUAGUCC
rnacentral:rRNA from 1 species